rnacentral:lncRNA from 1 species
AUAACAAAUGGUUUUGAACUCGGCAUUCAUGUUGUUUGAUUUUCUCUUUUUUUUCGUGCUUAACUCAUAACUCUGGGGGUUUAUUCACUUUUGACUCUUUUUAACUCAAUUCUCUGUGAGCAUUUUACAGGUGUUAGAGUCUUAAGUCUCGGCAAGUGCAUUUCUCUUUUUUUUUUCUUUCUUUUCUUUCUCUUUUUUUUAUUAGGACAUACACACGUCUCUUCUUUUUGCACUUGCCCUUUCUUUAAAGAUUACCACCCCAAACUUA